UAUUAUUUCGCACGGAGGCUCGCGAAAUUUUGACAGGUUGCAAUGAAAAAAUAUAAGAAAACACAAGAUUGGCAAUUUUUUUCAUCGCAACCUGUCAAAAUUUCGUGGUUUAGAAAUUCAAUAUUUCGAAUUUGAAUGCACACCCAAACAAAGCAAAUCAGCUCAACUAAUCUUGUCUCAACAUCCUGGAUCUGGCAAUCAGCCAACCAACAUUAAAUCGAUACAACCGCAGCAGUACCAACUACUCCAAAUCCAACAACAGCCCCUCAAAAAAGGACCACAUAGCAAUUACUGCUCAAACGAACAACAGGAGUUUACGAAUGAUGGACACAUCGGAAAACAUUUCAUCGGCACAUUCUGCCUUAAAACAUGUCUGCCACUAUUUUUGAAAAUAUCACUGCCUACACAGUGCUCGUGAUUCCAUUCCAGCAGCAGCAAGCAAUCACUAUUCGAGUGCUUAUCGCCAACAUUUCACAGCAAGCUCAGCAGCAGAACCACCUUCAACCACAACAUCAGAAAAUUAAGAUUUCUUCCAGACCAUGACCAUCAUCCUAAAGGUCGGUAGCAAUAACGUUCAACCGACGGUACAACCUGGUCAGCAACCGCAAUUAGUGCAAUAGAUCCAACCCAAAUGUAGAUUUACCAACUGCAAAAAAGAUAGCAACAGCACAUUCAAACACAGUAGCAGCAGCAUACUAUACUGUACCAUGCGGUGUGCAGGACUUUUUUAUUCAGUUGGUGCGGCAAGAUCGAACACCAACAACAUAAUAUCAUGGUAAUCACCCAGCAAGAAAACGCAGUGAUAAUGGGCCAACAGAAAACACAACAUCAAGAUGCUCGGAAAGGACUUUCUCUUUCGAACAAACAUAAUGGCACGUCAUCUUCAAUCGGCUAACCGUUUGGAAUAAGCGCUCAUCAUCGGUUUCAUGGCAGGGAAGUGAGCAGGCAAAAGAAGGCAUCGUUUUUUCCGCAAGGUCGCUCUGGUCAAAAUUUCAGCGAAUUGCAAGGAAUAAACCACCCGAGGGACAGUACCCGUGCUGAUUCAGGACGAUUUCCCAUACUUUGUACCUUGCUAUUGAAUUUUAAUACCCGAUCGAAACGAUGGCAAGCGCUGCCGAUAACUGGGUCAAAAAGACGACGGAUCAAGAAAUUUCUGCACUCGGUUAGCGAACUGAGUACAUAUCAUCAAGGAUAAGGAUUCAGAGCCGGCGGCUGGCAGUCCAGAGAAAGAGAAUGCGGAAAAACCUAGUCCACCGGCAGUAGAACCACAGCUGCACCUGAUGUUUGGAGUUCGGUAGCUACAGAAAUUCUGACUCUAGCAGCUCCUGAAGAAAAACAAGCUGCAAGAGAAAAUGGAGAAACACCUUCCUCCGCGGAAGAUGCAGAGGCAUUCAAGUAAGUCGAAAUCUGCAGAAAAUUUUGAUUAGGACAUAAGGAACAUUGACAGCCUCUCUUUGUUUACUUUCUCUUUCGAUUAUGACGUCACUAUAACACUUUGCACUAAUUUUCCAGUACAUAGC